rnacentral:rRNA from 1 species
AACGUAGGGUGCAAGCGUUAAUCGGAAUUACUGGGCGUAAAGCGUGCGCAGGCGGUUCGCUAAGACAGAUGUGAAAUCCCCGGGCUUAACCUGGGAACUGCAUUUGUGACUGGCGGGCUAGAGUAUGGCAGAGGGGGGUAGAAUUCCACGUGUAGCAGUGAAAUGCGUAGAGAUGUGGAGGAAUACCGAUGGCGAAGGCAGCCCCCUGGGCCAAUACUGACGCUCAUGCACGAAAGCGUGGGGAGCAAACAGG